rnacentral:rRNA from 1 species
AUUGAACGCUGGCGGCAGGCCUAACACAUGCAAGUCGAGCGGAUGAAGGGAGCUUGCUCCUGGAUUCAGCGGCGGACGGGUGAGUAAUGCCUAGGAAUCUGCCUGGUAGUGGGGGAUAACGUCCGGAAACGGGCGCUAAUACCGCAUACGUCCUGAGGGAGAAAGUGGGGGAUCUUCGGACCUCACGCUAUCAGAUGAGCCUAGGUCGGAUUAGCUAGUUGGUGGGGUAAAGGCCUACCAAGGCGACGAUCCGUAACUGGUCUGAGAGGGUGAUCGGCCACACUGGAACUGAGACACGGUCCAGACUCCUACGGGAGGCAGCAGUAGGGAAUCUUCCGCAAUGGGCGAAAGCCUGACGGAGCAACGCCGCGUGAGUGAUGAAGGUCUUCGGAUCGUAAAACUCUGUUAUUAGGGAAGAACAAAUGUGUAAGUAACUAUGCACGUCUUGACGGUACCUAAUCAGAAAGCCACGGCUAACUACGUG